rnacentral:rRNA from 1 species
AUUGAACGCUGGCGGCAUGCCUUACACAUGCAAGUCGAACGGUAACGCGGGGCAACCUGGCGACGAGUGGCGAACGGGUGAGUAAUGCAUCGGAACGUGCCCAGUAGUGGGGGAUAGCCCGGCGAAAGCCGGAUUAAUACCGCAUACGACCUACGGGUGAAAGGGGGGAGUCGCAAGACCUCUCGCUAUUGGAGCGGCCGAUGUCAGAUUAGGUAGUUGGUGGGGUAAGGACCUACCAAGCCGACGAUCUGUAGCUGGUCUGAGAGGACGACCAGCCACACUGGGACUGAGACACGGCCCAGACUCCUACGGGAGGCAGCAGUGGGGAAUAUUGGACAAUGGGCGAAAGCCUGAUCCAGCAAUGCCGCGUGAGUGAUGAAGGCCUUAGGGUUGGUAAAGACUCUUUUACCCGGGUAUGAUAAUGACAGUACCGGGAGAAUAAGCUCCGGCUAACUCCGUGCCAGCAGCCGCGGUAAU